rnacentral:tRNA from 1 species
AUAAAGUUAGUUAAAUUUAUAACUUAAGGUUGUCAAUCUUAUAUAACUAAUAAAAUUUAGUACUUUAUU